rnacentral:rRNA from 1 species
GACGAACGCUGGCGGCGUGCUUAACACAUGCAAGUCGAACGGAAAGGCCCUGCUUUUGUGGGGUGCUCGAGUGGCGAACGGGUGAGUAACACGUGAGUAACCUGCCCUCGACUUUGGGAUAACUUCAGGAAACUGGGGCUAAUACCGGAUAGGAGCUCCUGCUGCAUGGUGGGGGUUGGAAAGUUUCGGCGGUUGGGGAUGGACUCGCGGCUUAUCAGCUUAUUGGUGGGGUAGUGGCUUACCAAGGCUUUGACGGGUAGCCGGCCUGAGAGGGUGACCGGCCACAUUGGGACUGAGAUACGGCCCAGACUCCUACGGGAGGCAGCAGUGGGGAAUAUUGCACAAUGGGCGGAAGCCUGAUGCAGCAACGCCGCGUGCGGGAUGACGGCCUUCGGGUUGUAAACCGCUUUCGCCUGUGACGAAGCGUGAGUGACGGUAAUGGGUAAAGAAGCACCGGCUAACUACGUG